GGGCCCGCACAAGCGGUGGAGCAUGUGGUUUAAUUCGAUGAUACGCGAGGAACCUUACCAGGGCUUAAAUGUAGUGGGACAGGUCUAGAGAUAGACCCUUCUUCGGACUCAUUACAAGGUGCUGCAUGGUUGUCGUCAGCUCGUGCCGUGAGGUGUCAGGUUAAGUCCUAUAACGAGCGCAACCCCUAUCGUUAGUUGCCAGCGAGUAAUGUCGGGAACUCUAACGAAACUGCCAGUGCAAACUGUGAGGAAGGUGGGGAUGACGUCAAAUCAUCACGGCCCUUACGUCCUGGGCUACACACGUGCUACAAUGGCCGGUACAGAGAGCAGCCACUUCGCAAGAAGGAGCGAAUCUAUUAAAACCGGUCUCAGUUCGGAUCGGAGUCUGCAAAUCGACUCCGUGAAGUCGGAAUUGCUAG
rnacentral:rRNA from 1 species